GCCCCUACGGGAGGCAGCAGUGGGGAAUAUUGCACAAUGGGGAAACCCUGAUGCAGCGACGCCGCGUGAGUGAGGAAGUAUUUCGGUAUGUAAAGCUCUAUCAGCAGGGAAGAAAAUGACGGUACCUGACUAAGAAGCCCCGGCUAAAUACGUGCCAGCAGCCGCGGUAAUACGUAUGGUGCAAGCGUUAUCCGGAUUUACUGGGUGUAAAGGGAGCGCAGGCGGCACGGCAAGCCUGAUGUGAAAGCCCGCGGCCCAACCGCGGGACUGCAUUGGGAACUACCGGGCUGGAGUGCCGGAGAGGG
rnacentral:rRNA from 1 species